UACGUAGGGUGCGAGCGUUAAUCGGAAUUACUGGGCGUAAAGCGUGCGCAGGCGGUUCGUUGUGUCGGCGGUGAAAGCCCCGGGCUUAACCUGGGAAUGGCCGUCGAAACUGGCGAACUGGAGUGUGGCAGAGGGGGGUGGAAUUCCGCGUGUAGCAGUGAAAUGCGUAGAGAUGCGGAGGAACACCGAUGGCGAAGGCAGCCCCCUGGGCUGACACUGACGCUGAGGUGCGAAAGCGUGGGGAGCAAACAGG
rnacentral:rRNA from 1 species